ACUCAAAGGAAUUGACGGGGGCCCGCACAAGCGGUGGAGCAUGUGGUUUAAUUCGACGCAACGCGAAGAACCUUACCUGGGCUAGAAAGCACAGGAAUCCGGUCGAAAGGUCGGAGUGCCCUUCGGGGAACCUGUGGUUAGGUGCUGCAUGGCUGUCGUCAGCUCGUGUCGUGAGAUGUUGGGUUAAGUCCCGCAACGAGCGCAACCCUUGCCGUUAGUUGCCAUCAUUCAGUUGGGAACUCUAACGGGACUGCCAGCCUUCAAGCUGGAGGAAGGUGAGGACGACGUCAAGUCAUCAUGGCCCCUAUGUCCAGGGCUACACACGUGCUACAAUGGUCGGUACAAAGGGUUGCGAACCCGCGAGGGGGAGCCAAUCCCAAAAAGCCGACCUCAGUACAGAUAGGAGUCUGCAACUCGACUCCUUGAAGUCGGAAUCGCUAGUAAUCCCUGAUCAGCAUGGCAGGGGUGAAUACGUUCCCGGGCCUUGUACACACCGCCCGU
rnacentral:rRNA from 1 species